GAUGAAGAACGCAGUGAAAUGCGAUAAGUAAUGCGAAUUGCAGAAUUCAGUGAAUCAUCGAAUCUUUGAACGCACAUUGCGCCCCUUGGUAUUCCAUGGGGCAUGCCUGUUCGAGCGUCAUUUGUACCUUCAAGCUUUGCUUGGUGUUGGGUGUUUGUCCUGAGGGACUCGCCUUAAAGUAAUUGGCAGCCAGUGUUUUGGUUUUGAAGCGCAGCACAAGUCGCGAUUCAAAGCUAUACGCCAGCUUCCACAAGCCUUUUUCACUUUUGACCUCGGAUCAGGUAGGGAUACCCGCUGAACUUAAGCAUAUCAAUAAGCGGAGGA
rnacentral:misc_RNA from 1 species